CGAACGCUGGCGGCGUGCUUACCACAUGCACGUCGAACGGCAAGGCCCUGCUUUUGUGGGGUGCUCGAGUGGCGAACGGGUGAGUAACACGUGAGUAACCUGCCCUUGACUUUGGGAUAACUUCAGGAAACUGGGGCUAAUACCGGAUAGGAGCUCCUGCUGCAUGGUGGGGGUUGGAAAGUUUCGGCGGUUGGGGAUGGACUCGCGGCUUAUCAGCUUGUUGGUGGGGUAGUGGCUUACCAAGGCUUUGACGGGUAGCCGGCCUGAGAGGGUGACCGGCCACAUUGGGACUGAGAUACGGCCCAGACUCCUACGGGAGGCAGCAGUGGGGAAUUUUGCACAAUGGGCGGAAGCCUGAUGCAGCAACGCCGCGUGCGGGAUGACGGCCUUCGGGUUGUAAACCGCUUCCGCCUGUGACGAAGCGUGAGUGACGGUAAUGGGUAAAGAAGCACCGGCUAACUACGUG
rnacentral:rRNA from 1 species